rnacentral:rRNA from 1 species
ACGGGUGAGUAACGCGUGGGAAUCUACCCAUCUCUACGGAACAACUCCGGGAAACUGGAGCUAAUGCCGUAUACGUCCUUUUGGAGAAAGAUUUAUCGGAGAUGGAUGAGCCCGCGUUGGAUUAGCUAGUUGGUGGGGUAAUGGCCUACCAAGGCGACGAUCCAUAGCUGGUCUGAGAGGAUGAUCAGCCACACUGGGACUGAGACACGGCCCAGACUCCUACGGGAGGCAGCAGUGGGGAAUAUUGGACAAUGGGCGCAAGCCUGAUCCAGCCAUGCCGCGUGAGUGAUGAAGGCCCUAGGGUUGUAAAGCUCUUUCAACGGUGAAGAUAAUGACGGUAACCGUAGAAGAAGCCCCGGCUAACUUCGUGCCAGCAGCCGCGGUAAUACGAAGGGGGCUAGCGUUGUUCGGAAUUACUGGGCGUAAAGCGCACGUAGGCGGAUACUUAAGUCAGGGGUGAAAUCCCGGGGCUCAACCCCGGAACUGCCUUUGAUACUGGGUAUCUCGAGUCCGGAAGAGGUGAGUGGAAUUCCGAGUGUAGAGGUGAAAUUCGUAGA